rnacentral:rRNA from 1 species
CCCCCACACUGGUACUGAGACACGGACCAGACUCCUACGGGAGGCAGCAGUGAGGAAUAUUGGUCAAUGGGCGGAAGCCUGAACCAGCCAAGUCGCGUGAGGGAAGACGGUCCUAUGGAUUGUAAACCUCUUUUGCAGGGGAGCAAGGCGCGGUACGUGUACCGCGAAGGAGAGUACCCUGAGAAAAAGCAUCGGCUAACUCCGUGCCAGCAGCCGCGGUAAUACGGAGGAUGCGAGCGUUAUCCGGAUUUAUUGGGUUUAAAGGGUGCGCAGGCGGACUGUUAAGUCAGCGGUAAAAUGUCGGUGCUCAACACCGGCCGGCCGUUGAAACUGGCAGCCUUGAGUGAGCGAGAAGUAUGCGGAAUGCGUGGUGUAGCGGUGAAAUGCAUAGAUAUCACGCAGAACUCCGAUUGCGAAGGCAGCAUACCGGCGCUCAACUGACGCUCAGGCACGAAAGCGUGGGUAUCGAACAGGCUUAGAUACCCUGGUAGUCCACGCAGUAAACGAUGAAUGCUCACUGUCCGGGCCGUUUAAGGCCUGG